rnacentral:lncRNA from 1 species
GUGUUGCAAACUGGACCAGAUUCUCAGAGCAUACAGGGCAGACUUUUACAGAAUGUACACUCUGGAUACAUGUAGAGAGUGCAGGGUGACGUUCAAAAACUGCAUACCAGGUAUGAAAAUUGCGCAUGGAAAUGUAAUGAGUACUUCUUUUAAGUUAUUGCUACCUAAAGAUGGCAGUGAAAACUUGUUUGUUUUUAACAAUGCUGAUAGAAGUUGUUGCAAAGACUGUAGUGUGUUGACCAAAUACUGGAAAACUAAUUUAUUGCCAUUCCAUGGGCAUCCAUAAGGCAAUAAUGAUGGUCACAUGCAGUAGUAAAAGAAAAAGAAUAAAUAUGGAUAUAAAUAAUUCAAUAACUAAUAAUUGUAGCCCUUUAAAACUGACACAACUUAACGUUGCAAUUACAAGUAAUAAAACACAAGAGACACAAAAAUAGAACCAUACAGUGAGUAUCUCUACAGGUAGAAUACUGACCAGAGGACUUCUAGACACCAAGGAUUUCUUCAAUGUGAUGAUCCAAAGAAAAUAAAGGGGGGCCCUCUAACAAGGACUGUUUUUAUUUACCGACAGGCUAUGCAGGAAAUGGGAAAAGAGGGGUGCCGCAGGGCAUCUAUUCUGAGAACUCGCACCGUGGCUUCUGCUCUCACUUCUGCCAGCUCUGUGCAGGGUUUUCCCAAUAAAUGACACUCCACGAACCUGGGAUCGGACUGACACCUUGUCGCCUUCUCCAUCACCACCCACCACCUGGGAUGCACCUUACAACAUCCACACACCAUCCCUCAUGCACACCUUACACUACUGAUUCUACUGAUAUCCACACUCCACACCUUGUUCAUGUUGAGUUCAGUUCAUUGCCUUUUGUUAAUAAAUUACAGUUCUUAAACCGUUCAUGGUGUGUCUCCCACAUUUGUCAUAGCCGAAGAGCCAGGUUAUGAUGGCAGCUGCAGAGUUUUGUUCUUACCCUAGGUAUUUUCCCUGCCUAUAUGUAUCUAGAUGAUGAUUUGUCCCAUUCCCAAAACUGUUCAUCUACAGGUAUUGAAUGAAAAAGGCACAACACCCUGUGUUAUUUUUAAAACAUCGUUUUUACCAUGGAUGUUAUAUCCAGGUUCCAAUCAUAUUGAUCAAAGGACACUCAAAAGCUUGGUAUUGUAAUAGCAGUUAUGAGUUCAUUUUUUUUUUUUAUCUUGUUGUCCCUGUUGUACUACAGUAAAAAAUAUUUUCAUGGAUAAGAUACUUUUUAGUAUUCCUCAUGGUUUGCCCUCUCAAGGGCUGAGUGGAAGUUUAUUGCUUUUAUUACCCCCAUGACGUCCACUUGAAGAUGAAAAGGAGUCAUUGUAU